rnacentral:rRNA from 1 species
CGGUGGAGCAUGUGGUUUAAUUCGAAGCAACGCGAAGAACCUUACCAGGCCUUGACAUGCAGAGAACUUUCCAGAGAUGGAUUGGUGCCUUCGGGAACUCUGACACAGGUGCUGCAUGGCUGUCGUCAGCUCGUGUCGUGAGGUGUUGGGUUAAGUCCGUAACGAGCGCAACCCUUGUCCUUAGUUACCAGCACGUUAUGGUGGGCACUCUAAGGAGACUGCCGGUGACAAACCGGAGGAAGGUGGGGAUGACGUCAAGUCAUCAUGGCCCUUACGGCCUGGGCUACACACGUGCUACAAUGGUCGGUACAAAGGGUUGCCAAGCCGCGAGGUGGAGCUAAUCCCAUAAAACCGAUCGUAGUCCGGAUCGCAGUCUGCAACUCGACUGCGUGAAGUCGGAAUCGCUAGUAAUCGUGAAUCAGAAUGUCACGGUGAAUACGUUCCCGGGCCUU